rnacentral:rRNA from 1 species
GACGUAGGGCGCGAGCGUUGUCCGGAUUUAUUGGGCGUAAAGAGCUCGUAGGCGGCUUGUCGCGUCGACUGUGGAAUCCCGCGGCUCAACUGCGGGUCUGCAGUCGAUACGGGCAGGCUAGAGUUCGGUAGGGGAGACUGGAAUUCCUGGUGUAGCGGUGAAAUGCGCAGAUAUCAGGAGGAACACCGGUGGCGAAGGCGGGUCUCUGGGCCGAUACUGACGCUGAGGAGCGAAAGCGUGGGGAGCGAACAGG